AAUCUGCUGCUGGUGGACUUGCACUAUAAUAAAGACAAUUCUUCAAGCUGAAGGAUAAUAGCACCAGAUGGAAGCUUAUAAAUGCCAGAACAAAUGAAGAUCAUUGGAAACAGGAUGUGAGGCCAAUCUGGCUGGGACAUCUGCCACCCCAUGGAUCUCCAGGGUUGAUUCGGCUGAUCUGGCUGGCUAGGCUGGUGUCCCCUUCCUCCCUCACCACUCCUUGUGUGUCUGUCCCGAAGCUGUGCACUCUAAUGAAGAGGACGACCAUCCCAGACAGAGGAGGACCAGUCUUUGUUCUAGGAUUUCUUUUUCCUAAUGACUUGCUCAUUUGCCAAACUGGCACUAAUGCAAGAACUCUGUGAUUAACUGAUGUUAUUGAAGACUGCUUUAGACUGACUGACUGUCAGCAUGCCUCCAAAAUUCAUAUGUUGAAAGCUAAUCCCCAAUAAGAUGGUAUUUGGAGGUGGGGCCUUUGGAAGAUGAUUAGGUCAUGGGGAUAAAAGGGACUAGUAGCUUCUAAAAGAGGCUCCAAAGAGUUGCCUUGCUCUUUCCUCCAUGUAAGGACACAGUGAGAAGACAAUUGUCUAUGAAGCAAGCAGUGGGCCCUCACAGACACCAAACCUGCUGAUAUCUUGAUUUAUGACCUCCAUAACUGUAAAAAAUAAAUGUUUACUGUUCAAGCCA
rnacentral:lncRNA from 10 species